UACAGAGGGGGCAAGCGUUGUUCGGAAUUACUGGGCGUAAAGGGCGCGUAGGCGGCCUACUAAGUCGGACGUGAAAUCCCCGGGCUCAACCCGGGAACUGCGUCCGAUACUGGAAGGCUUGAAUCCGGGAGAGGGAUGCGGAAUUCCAGGUGUAGCGGUGAAAUGCGUAGAUAUCUGGAGGAACACCGGUGGCGAAGGCGGCAUCCUGGACCAACACUGACACUGAGGAGCGAAAGCCAGGGGAGCAAACGGG
rnacentral:rRNA from 1 species